GUCCCUGUAGCUUAACGGAUAAAGUGUCUGUCUUCUAAACAGACGAUGGAGGUUCGAUUCCUCCCAGGGACA
rnacentral:tRNA from 1 species